rnacentral:rRNA from 1 species
UACGUAGGGUGCAAGCGUUAAUCGGAAUUACUGGGCGUAAAGCGUGCGCAGGCGGUUGUGCAAGACAGAUGUGAAAUCCCCGGGCUCAACCUGGGAAUUGCAUUUGUGACUGCACGGCUAGAGUGUGUCAGAGGGGGGUAGAAUUCCACGUGUAGCAGUGAAAUGCGUAGAUAUCUGGAGGAACACCGGUGGCGAAGGCGGCGUUCUGGACUGCAACUGACACUGAGGAACGAAAGCCAGGGGAGCAAACGGG